rnacentral:rRNA from 1 species
UACGGAGGGUGCAAGCGUUAUCCGGAUUCACUGGGUUUAAAGGGUGCGUAGGUGGAGAGGUAAGUCAGUGGUGAAAUCUCCAAGCUUAACUUGGAACUGCCGUUGAUACUAUCUUUCUUGAAUAUCGUGGAGGUGAGCGGAAUAUGUCAUGUAGCGGUGAAAUGCUUAGAUAUGACAUAGAACACCGAUUGCGAAGGCAGCUCACUACACGAUCAUUGACA